rnacentral:rRNA from 1 species
GCAUAUCAAUAAGCGGAGGAAAAGAAACCAACAGGGAUUGCCCCCAGUAACGGCGAGUGAAGCGGCAACAGCUCAAAUUUGAAAUCUGGCCCCCAGGGUCCGAGUUGUAAUUUGUAGAGGAUGCUUUUGGCGCGGCGCCUUCCGAGUUCCCUGGAACGGGACGCCAUAGAGGGUGAGAGCCCCGUCUGGUUGGAUGCCUAGCCUCUGUAAAGCUCCUUCGACGAGUCGAGUAGUUUGGGAAUGCUGCUCUAAAUGGGAGGUAUAUGUCUUCUAAAGCUAAAUACCGGCCAGAGACCGAUAGCGCACAAGUAGAGUGAUCGAAAGAUGAAAAGCACUUUGAAAAGAGGGUUAAAUAGUACGUGAAAUUGUUGAAAGGGAAGCACUUGUGACCAGACUUGGGCCCGGUUAAUCAUCCAGCGUUCUCGCUGGUGCACUUUGCCGGCCCAGGCCAGCAUCAGUUCGCCGUGGGGGAUAAAGGCUUCGGGAAUGUGGCUCCCUCGGGAGUGUUAUAGCCCGUUGUGUAAUACCCUGUGGCGGACUGAGGUUCGCGCUCCGCAAGGAUGCUGGCGUAAUGGUCAUCAGUGACCCGUCUUGAAACACGGACCAAGGAGUCGUCUUCGUAUGCGAGUGUUCGGGUGUCAAACCCCUACGCGUAAUGAAAGUGAACGCAGGUGAGAGCUUCGGCGCAUCAUCGACCGAUCCUGAUGUUCUCGGAUGGAUUUGAGUAAGAGCAUACGGGGCCGGACCCGAAAGAAGGUGAACUAUGCCUGUAUAGGGUGAAGCCAGAGGAAAACUCUGGUGGAGGCUCGCAGCGGUUCUGACGUGCAAAUCGAUCGUCAAAUAAUGGGCAUGGGGGGCGAAAGACUAAUCGAACCUUCUAGUAGCUGGUUUCCGCCGA